rnacentral:piRNA from 1 species
UGUGACAGUUAUGACUGUUAGGCAGGCCU